GGGGCGCGCCCGCGGAUUAGUGGGCACAGCCUGGUCCGGCGUCGGGGCGAAGGACGGCCGCCUGGUGGAGCACGCCGGAAGUGGCCGGCCGCCGCGGUCACGAUGUCCAGGGUGGUGGCGCCGCGCCGGAGGGAGGAGCUGGGGCUGAUCGCUGGCGGCCGUGCAGGUGGCCACGGUCGAGCGGGAGGCUAGGGGUGUCCUGGAGAUUUUCCUCCUGCGUUCCUGACCCACUGAUUCAUUGGCUUCUCAGAAGUUUUCUCCUGGAUGCCGCACAGAUAAUGAAAAGAAAACUGAGAAGGAGGAAUGGAAGCUAAAGCAGGAAAUUUCUGAAGAAACAGGAUCAGGACACCCUGUACAAAUACCCCAUGGAUCUAAAUUUUUAGGACCCAGUGAAAGUGAGAACAGCUUGGAGAGGCAACAGGUAAACUCAGCAGAGGCUGGACUGCUACACUCUUCUUUUGAGGAAAAGGGGUUCAGCCAAGUGAGCAUUACCCUUAAGAAAACCCUUAUAGGAGAGGGAAAGCUUGACGUUAAUAAGAAAGUGAGAAUUUGUGAUCUGACCCCAACCGUUACACAUCAGAGAGUUUCAACAGAGGAAAGAACCUAUAGGUGCAAGGCAUGUGGCCAGAGCUUCAAAUAGAAGUCAGGACUUACUCAGCAUCAGAAAAUCCAUACCAUAAAGAGAAUCUAUAAGUGCAACAAAUGCGGAAAGGUCUUCAGCAGGAGCUCUAACUUGUUUAUACGUCAGAGAAUUCACACGGGAAGGAAACCUUAUGUUUGUGGUGACUGUGGCAAAGACUUUAGCUGAGCUCCAAUCUCAUGCGACAUCCGCGAAUUCAUACCAAGGAGAAUCCAUAUGAAUGUAAUCAGUGUGGAAGAGCUUUCAGGGGAAGCUCAAACCUUAUCCUGCACCAGAGAAUUCAUAGUGGAGGGAAGCCAUAUGUAUGUAAUGAAUGUGGGAAGGCCUUCAGUCAAAGCUCAGAUCUUAUUAUCCAUCACAGCAUUCACAGUGGAGAGAAACCCUAUGAACGUAAUGACUGUGGGAAAGCAUUCAGUCAGAGCUCCCAUCUUGUUAACCACCAGAGAAUUCAUACUGGGGAGAAACCCUAUGAAUGCAGCGAAUGUGGAAUAGCCCUCAGGCAGAGUUCCCUUCUUAUUCAGCAUAGUGGAGAGAAACCCUACAAAUGCCCUGAAUGUGGGAAAGCCUUCAGUGGGUGCACAGUUUCUCUUAAACAUCAGAGACUUCAUAUUGGAGAAAAACUUGAAUAUGAGAAAGCCUUCAGUUCAGAUUCAGAACUUAACGGACAGCAGACAAUUCACAAGGAAAAGAAAUCUUAUGAAUGUAAUGAAUGUGGAAAAACCUUCCUAGGCAGCUCAGAUCUUAUUAGAUAUCAAACAAUUCACACUGGAGAAAAACCUUUUGAAUGCAGUGGAUGUGGAAAGGCCUUCAGCAGGAACUCAGUCCUUAUAGAACAUCAGAGAAUCCAUACUGGUGAGAGGCCUUAUAAAUGCAGUGAAUGUGGGAAAGCCUUUAGGGGGAGCUCUCAACUUAUUCAGCAUCAAAGAAUUCACAGUGGAAAGAAACCCUAUGAAUGCAAUGAAUGUUGCAAGACUUUUAAUCAGAGCGCAGACCUUAUUCGACAUCACAGGAUUCAUAGUGGAGAAAAGCCCUAUGAAUGUAAUGAAUGUGGAAAAGCCUUCAGGUGGAGCUCAGACCUUGUUAGGCAUCAGAAAAUUCACACCAGAGAGAAAGUUCAUGAAUGUAAUGAGUAUGGAGAAACUUUCAGUCAGAGCUCAGGUCUUAGCAUCAGAGACACCACACAGAACCCUAGGAAGACAGUAAUGAUAAAAUGUCUAUAUAUAUAUAUAUUUGUUUUUAAAUACUGUUGUGUCUACCUUUAGCCAUUGUAACUAUAAUACUUGGAAAAUUCUAAGCUUCUUAAGAGCGAUUUUCAUCUGAUUCAGUUUAGAGUGUUCAGCCUCAGGCUGUGUGCAGAUUUGUCCUUCCUAAACACUUUCCACAAAGACCUUGAUGGGGUAAGCCUUUAAUUACAUUUUCACUCCUUACUUUAUCAUCAGAGGUUCCACACCACAGGGGAAUCUUGCAAAUGGAAGAACUUGCUUGUAAAGCACCUACAUCAUCACAAAAUUGUGUCCUCGUGUGUCCUCUUCAGCAGCAUCAGGAAUCUAAUAACUUUUCCCAUCUUUUUAUCCAUAAUAUGAAAUGUACCAAGGGAAUAUAAGAUAGGUGUGAUAUCCUGAACUCUAGAAUGAAUGGUUCUUCCUGGGACAGAGUCUAAUCCAAAAGUCUGAAAAUGGUCCUGAUGUUUUCUCAUUAGAAUAAAUGUCAAUAUGAGUAGAUUAGGGAGUUUGAGCUUGUUUCUUCCAUUCCUAGUAAAAUCAGAUACAGAAGCAGCUAGUUUAAUUAGGAAAAGGAAGUGACUAGUAAAUCAUAGGACAGUUACCUUCUUUCAUAUAAGGGUAGAAGUUGUGAUGAAAUCUCUUCUGUAGGAUUUAAAAGUAUAAUGGCACUUUGGAGUCUGACAUACUGAAAUCCAGGUUCUGUCACUUUAAUCUAUGUAAUCUUAGGCAAUUUUUUUUUGUUUCUGAGCCUUGGUUUUCUCAUAUGUAAAAUCAAGAUAACGAUACCUCCCUUGGGCUAUCUUGAAGAUUAAAUGAGACAAUUUUGUUAAGCACUUAGCAAAGUUCUAGGCACAUAGUAUACAACAAAUGAUAGAUGUUUUUAUCAGUAGUUCCUAUGGGCGGUGAUUAUCUAAGGCAUUUUGAAGGAAAGGAGACAACAUAUUCUCCCAGGCUAAAGUCUUCUGGAAAAUUACAUGAUUCUGCAUUUCCUGAUCCUACUUGAAGUCAGAAGGGGCUUGGCUUAGUGUCUGGGAAGAUGUAACUAGAAAACAGAACGUAGAGGAGGAAAUGCUGCAAAGAGGCCACGCACAGGCCGGAAUUUCCCUGCUGUUUAAAUCGGCUUGGACGGCCCCUGGACCUACAACUGAACAGAAAAGCGAGGCCCUCCAGCCGUUAAGCCAAAAGGCCCGCUCACGCCGGCCCCGCUCCCCUGCCCAAGGACUGCGAUUCCCAGAGCCCUCCGCGACCGGAGAGGCCACGACCGCGGGUGCGCAGGCGCACAGCUGCCCCCGCGGGUGGGCUGGAAGCGCGCUGCGCAGAAGUGGUCAGAUGGGAGCUCCGGGUCCUGCGAGGGUGCCCUUGAAAGACUCCUGCUAGUAUGGGCCUUCUACAGAGCCAGUCCAGGCUAGGAUGGCUGGAUCACUAACAGCAGCUGAAACUCUGGCCCUUCAGGAUACACGGGAUCAAGAGAAGAUUAUGAUGAUGGAGCCAAAGGAAGAGGAACAGUCUUGGGAGUAUGAGACCAGGCUACAUGGGAACCACUCUCCCAGUCAGGAGAUCUUCCGCCAACGCUUCAGGCAGCUCUGCUACCAGGAGACUCCUGGUCCCCGGGAGGCCCUGAGCCGACUAAGGGUACUCUGCUGUGGGUGGCUAAGGCCCGAGAGGCACACCAAGGAGCAGAUCCUGGAGUUACUGGUGCUGGAACAAUUCCUGACCAUCCUACCGGAGAAGCUCCAGUCCUGGGUGCGGGGACAUCACCCUAAGAGUGGAGAGGAGGCUGUGACUGUGCUGGAGGAUUUAGAGAAAGGACUUGAUGAACCAGGACUGCAGGUGGGAAGGGGAACAUACGAUCUGUUGUGGGAGCCAGAUCAAUGACCUUCAGGCUGGACAGAGGGGCAGCAGUAGGGGGAGUUGCCAAGUUCAAAACUCUUUUGGGCCAGGUAGAGCAGUGAGUGUGUGUUUCUGUGUGUUUUUUCUGCCCUCAAGCCCUGAAUAGGACUCUAGCUCCUCUUCCUGCCCCUGUGCUGACUCUGAGGAGGCUCUCUAAAGUCUCCUUGGAAGCUUUGGCUCCACAGAAACCGAGUGGUGCCUGAUCACCUCCAGGUCCCAGGCCCGGCACACGGACCUGCACAGGAAGAGCCGUGGGAGGAGAAGGAAGCUGUGGGAGCUGCCCAGAAGAAACCAAGCAUCCAGCUCCAGCCUAAAGAGACCCAGCCUUUCCCAGAGAGCGAACAGGUAUAUUUACAUUUUCCAUCAGUUGUUGCAGAAGAUGAUGCAGAGCCCAAGGACAAAGGGUCGUUGCCAGAACCACCCAUUACUGACGUGGAAUCACAGGUGCUCAGAGAAAAACUCACCACCAGCACCUCUACAUUUGAAGCUGCCUCUGAAGUUGAGGCCCCUUUAGAGCAGCAGCAGAGAAAUCUCAAAGGGGAAAGACUGAAGCAGUCCCCCGCUCAGGGGAAAAGCUUCAGGCAGAUGGUUGUCACCCUUAAGACAACUCCCACAGGGAAGAAAGACCAUGAAUGCAGUGAAUGUGGUAAAGCCUUCAUUUAUAACUCACACCUUAUAAUCCACCAGAGAAUCCAUUCUGGAGAGAAACCCUAUAAGUGCAGUGACUGUGGGAAAACUUUCAACCAGAGCUCAAACCUCAUUCAGCAUCAGAGAAUUCAUACAGGAGAGAAACCCUAUGAAUGUCAUGUGUGUGGGAAGUCCUUCAGGUGGAGUGCUCAUCUUGUUCAACAUCAGAGGGUUCAUUCAGGGGAGAAGCCCUACGAGUGUAAUGAGUGUGGGAAGGCCUUCAGUCAAAGCUCAUAUCUAAGUCAGCAUCUGAGAAUCCACAGUGGAGAGAAACCUUUCCUAUGUAAAGAAUGUGGGAAGGCCUACAGAUGGAGUUCUGAGCUUAUCAGACAUCAGAGAGUUCAUGCCAGAAAAGAGCCUUCCCAAUGGACUGUGGGUGAGAAAGUCUCCAGACAGAAUUGUACUUUUGUCUAAUCAGUUUUAGGACUAUAUUCCAUAAAAGUUAUAAGCACCUUAAGAUUUUUCCUGUGUCUUUCUUGAUUUAGGAAAAAAUGUUUACCUAGUCCCACCUGCAGCUCAUCGCUUCAUGCCCUCUGUUUGAGAUGACUGUAUCAACUAGCAUGCCUUUGGCUGCGAGUAACAGCCAAGAUGCCGACUUCAUUAGGGUUCCGGGCCUGGCACAGAGCAGCUGUGCAGGCAGUGACCAUCCUGUAUUAGUAUUAUUGUGAAUGGGUCUUCGGUCCUGGCCCUUCCUCAGCCCCAUACUGAGCUGCCUCUUGGGACAGGGUCACAUCUGCAAGUGUCCAGGCAUGAGACAGAAACCACACUUGUUCUUUGAGCAGGGAACGUUUAAUACAAAGAAGUGCUAGCUAGUAAAGGGGGAUUAUCUGUUAAAGGAGGUAAUGAGAUCUUAGUAUAGAAAUAGCA